ensembl:lncRNA
CCAUUCCAAAGUCAAGGCUCCCUCUGACAGUGAUUGAUGGCCACCCUCUUACAGGAAGAGUGACUAACUCUAACCUGUGAGUAUUGGAGGUGCUACAGAAUAUAUCUGCUGCACUAUUUAUUUUGGGAGGCGGACACAUGCCCACAUUUUUAUUCUUGGAAUAAACAUUCUGACAUUUUCUGGCAGGUGUGAAUGCUGUAGCAUACUAGCAAGAAGGAGAAAAAAAAAAAAAGAAAGACAGCCUCUACCCUCUCUAAUGGAAACAAACUGAAUAUUGCCAACAUGAAAAUUGUAAACUCUCACCAGAUUCCAUAUGAUUUUUAUCACUUGAAAAGCCAGAUUUUGAUCCUGUGGGUCUCCUGGCAGACCAGUAUGAAAAUCCUUUUUUUUCAAUGGUGCCUACUUGCUUUUCUCAACCAAAUCCAAACCAGAAGACAACUGUGUAAUGAAUUAUGUAAAUUUUAAACAUCAGCCUGAUUACAGCCGACUCAUUUUGCCAAUAGUCUGAAAAGAUUAGCCCUGAUGUCAAAGUGACAGCAUGCAGAACCCUUCUCAAAACUCUCAGCUGUCAUCUCAUCAAAAGCGCAUUGAAGUAGCAGGUCUGAUGUGAAGGGGUAAUUUCAUUUCUUAUUCAGUUUAAGGUCAGUAACAUUUAGCUCAAUUUUACACUGUGUUAUUCCAAAACUUGCCUAGAAAAUUAUAAAACUUUAAAAACAAAUAUUUAUGCAAACUUAUUAUAAUAACAGAUCCUUACACAUUAUUUGGCUGUAGUGUCUUAGAAGUUAAUAGUAUUUACAAAGAGAAAAUAUUUAAAGUCACAGGGCAUAUCAUUUUUAGCUUGGUUCCACAUAUCCAUAACUGUAGGCUAUAAUUAGUAACAAUUUUAAUUGUGAUUGGUCCAUAGGGAGACAGUUUGUAGCAAGUUCUGUAAAGUUUGCUAUCAUGGAAGAAAUAGUAUGGAAUAAUGUGGAAGAAAUAGGAGUCAGAAGAUACAGAUGCAACAACAGAGAAACUAUAAUAAAUAUCAGUAAGUAGGCCAGAAGAGUUCUGUAUAUAUUUUAAGAAAGUCUUUAAUAAAAUCUUUUUUCCUUUAGCAUAUGCACUAUAAUAACAGUUAUUUCCAUUCCUCUGCUACUCGAAGGAUAUUUCAGUUGUGAAAAAUCACAGCUUAGAAAUUAAUCUGCCCCAUAUGAGUCUAGCAGCAUAAGUCAACAGUUACUCUUUUUGGACAAGUACAAGGAAAAGGUCAUGAAAGCAUUUCAGUGCAUUAACACUGCCAGAGGAACAGAGAAUCCUUGGAAUUCAAGGCUGAAGUGGAUACAGGAAGAUACAGGAGUCCAUCACUAACCUACUGCAGUGCGUCAGAUCUGAGCAAGACAUUGGAACAAGUAAAGCAUGACUAUCUCUGCAGCUUCUGUUUAUCUCCUCCUCGUUGGACCUUCCUGUGGACUUACCAGAAAUCUAUCAAACAGUAUCACAAUAUCUACCUUUGCAUCCGGUAAAAGUGGGGGUCGCAUUAGGACUGGCUGAAAUUCCAGCUUAUGAAAUAUACUGAGGUUUCAGAGCCUGUUCCAACAUGAACAAAACCAAUAUCAUCUGUAUUACAUGCAUGAAGAAACCAAACCUAUUCCAGGAGACCAAUAGGAAUUUUUUCUGUAACCUACAAAUUAGUAGCUCACCUUGGGAAAAAAGAGAGCCAUACUCAGCUCCCCUCAGAGAAUCAGGCAUUUGAAUUUGAGCUUAGCUCCUUCCAGAAUAUUCAAACAGAUGUGUCAUUUAACCUCCCUCACAAGACUGCACUUCCCAGGAUGGAGGAUGGUCCUGCUGUAUCUUGAACAUCCCCCUGGCUGCAGUGCAUAGCAAGAACAUAGCUCAGCUGGUAAAGCCAGCUGUGAGGAGGAGAAAUAGGGGAUAUUCCUUCCUAAUCCACUGUCUUAACUUAUUUUAACUAAAGUGUUCUGGUUUUGUUCAACAGUCCACAAGUUGCUCAAUUUGGACAUAUUUUAUCAGGGAAAAACAAAAAAGUUUGCUUUUUUGCUUAUAUUGUUAUAGGAAGAAUAUCAUUUUAAAUAAAAGUCCAGGGUUUCGUGUAAGCAGUAAACCUACAAGUUUUCAGGAUGAGGAUCCUUAGCUUAUUCACUGAAAUGAAGACAAAAAUCUAUUUCAGGAGUUUCAAGAAUAAUUUUUUGAAACACACGUGUAUAUAGUAUAUAACUAUAUACUAUAACACACAAAUCCAGUACAAGAAGUAGAAAAGUCUACUUUUGAAAACACUGUUUCAUUUAUCUGUGGUUUCAAGCAACAUAUUUGUCAGCAGAAAUAUGUCAUGAAUAGAUGCAGUUAACUCCAAACUAUAUUUCAUCUGUUGAAUACCAUUUGCUUUUGCAAGUAAGGGUAGGAAAUAUUUUUCCAUCUCUUAGAAAGGUCACAAUGCUUUGGACUUUGCAUAGUAGCAGAGACUGAAAGGAAUACUUUCACUUUUAAAGUUUUUUUAUUCAGCCUUUUCUUUUCCUCACAUUAACUUUACAACGCUGUUUUAACAGCUUUUCAAGAGUAUAUCCACAAGCACUAUUGCAGAAUUUUCAUGAAAUGAUUUUAAUAACUCGGUUUCUUCUUGGUCACCUUAGUAAACACAGAUAAAGAAGUAGCUCCUCUGCAGUACCGAAUAUUUUAUGUUUCUAAUUUCAAAAAACAAAAAACAGUUCAGAUUUCUUUGUAUCCAUACUUUAUGUAUAAACCGUAUCUUGAUGUCACAGAAUCACAGAGUUGUAGGAGUUGGGUGGGCUUCUGGGGAUCACCUAGUGCAAUCCCCCACUAAAGCAAUUUCCCUACAGUAGGCUGCACAGGAAAGUCCAGGUGGGUUUUGAAUAUCUCCAGAGAAGGAAACCCCACAACCUCUCUGGGCAGCCUGUUUCUUUGCAGUCACCCUCACAGUAAAGAUCUUCCUCACAUUUGUAUGGAACCUUCUGUGUUCCAGUUUGUGUCCACUACCCCUUAUUAUGUCUUUGGGCAUCACCAAACAGAGUCUGGCCCCAUCCUCUUGAUGUCCACGCUUAAGAUAUGCUCUAGGCCCCUUAUCAUCUUUGUGACUGUCUGAUGGACUCUCUUUAGAAGUUCUCUGUCUUUCUUCAACUGAGGAGCCCGGGACCGAAUGCAUUGCUCCAGAUGUGGCCUCACCAGGGCAGAGUAGAGGAGGAGGACCACCUCCCUUGACCUGCUGGCCACACUCUUUUUAAUGCACCUCAGGAUACCACUGGCCUUCGUGGCCACAAGGGCACACUGUUGGCUCAUGGCCAACCUGUUGUUAAACCAGGACACCCAGGUCCUUCUAAAGUAGGGUAUAAAUCUUUGAAGGCUUUUGUUGUUUUUGAUAUCUCCUUCUGCUUCCUACAUUAUACAGUAAAUUAGUAGAAAUGAAUUUGAGUCAGCCAGUACAGUAGUAAAGUAGUGGUUAUUGGGUUGCCAAUGUGCAAAAGCUUUGGUUCCUAGGCCUCCAGCCAGCACAGACUAAACACAUUAAAGAGGUAACUUGCUCGUGAUUGAUGAAAGAUGGGAAGAAAUCACACUAAUGUACUAUCUUGUGGGUUUGGUUAUUUUUUUCUUUGUUUGAAUUUCAUAUGCAAUUAGUGCAUCUCAAAAUACAGAGAUAGUACAUUACUUCCAUCCUAAACAACGUUCUAAAAUUGGACUGCACGCAAAUCUUCUGCAUUUACGAUUAGCUCCCUUGCCUAGCACAUGGUAUCACUGCAUCAGUUCUAUUUUGUACUGCUGUACAUGGUGGUUUCCAAACUCCAAUUGCCACUUUUCAUGUAGAAGGAACUUGUGUUUUCCUUUGUUUGCAAGCCUAGCAUACACCUAUGUGUCCACAGUAAUAGCAGCUGUGAUGGCCUCCAGCCAUCAGUCUCCUUGAUCACAAGAGAAGGUUUAUGAACUCUCUUGAAUUCAUACCCAUUCAAACUUAAACACGAAUUUAGUCUCAGCAAAGUCAGUGGUACUUCAGUGCAUAAAGAAAGUCAAGCACAGGUUUGGAAAGUAAAAAUGGUUUCAAGAAAAAGCUGCACGGUUUCCUACCACCUUCUGCUUUGGUUCCCCAGCCUCCAACCAGGUGGGUCCAACAAUAGCCCAGGAUCUUCUGGCCAACUUUCAAUUCUUUUGCUUGAAGAAAGUUCACAUUUAUUUCAUUUUCAUUUCCAAAUCAGAAUAAAGUCUAUUUUGAAAUGGCAAAUUUUUACAUAAAAUGGAAUUUCCUUCUGUCCAGCUCUAGUAACGACAUAGAGUUGCAGUUUAAAUAAAAGAAAACUAACUGCCAUGUGUUAGCAACACGAAAGGGUCAAACUAGAAUUGAUGUUGCUUUGUGAUGCUCAAAUGGGUAGUAAAAUGCAAUUAUUUCCUUCUCAAAAUGCCAUGACUUUUUCCACUCAUUUAUAUAGUAUCCUAUUACAUUCUCUUUAAAUGUGCAGAGGAGAGGCAUUCCAGUGAAAUAUCCCUGCCAUGAGAUCCCAUGAAAACUCACACUUAUCUGCAAUAUAAAUAUUUCUCUCUCUUCUAGCUCAAAAUUUGGUUUAUCAGCUCUUUUUUCUUAAAAGCUCACAGAUUUUCUUUCCUACUUAAACUGAACUUAGGAAAUAUAUUUAAGCAGAGCUAUGAAGUACUCAAGAUUCAAGGUCACAUACCCCAGAAAGUGGGGAAACUAGUGCCACAUAUGAAGAAUGCCAAUGUGAUUAGCACUAAAGUGUGCCAAGCACACAAAUAUAAUAUGCACAAUGUGACAUCUCUAACAGCAUAAUUAACUGAUGCUAUAAAACAGUCAUACUCCCCUCACACCCGUGCUGACCAAGGCGUAUAUAGCGCUGGAUGCCCAUGGCAUUGCUUUGAUAAGCAGACAUGCACACACUAAAUGGAAAGCGAGCAAAUGUUUUGGGAGACAAAAUCUCUCCACACAGUGCACUGCUCAGUGCCCACAGUAUUUCCAGGCUCUUCAGGUGAAGGUGGCACUAAGGUGAGAGACAUCCUGAGAAGAGAAGAAGGUGUGAUUAAUUCUGGAAUUGUGAUGCCAGCUUCUUGUGGUACUGUGACCUUUCCAAUUGAUUAAGGAAAAACAUUUAUGAAUGCAGGCAGUAGGAUAACAGAACUUCAUUUCCUUUCUCAGCUAACUGAUCAUGUAAAUGGAUUUCAAGACAGAUUAGAGGAAAUGAAUAUGCAUACCCUGCUAUCAGGCUGUUCUUUAUCUGAAAAAAAUGCAUUAGCGGGUUACAAAUAUCAGCUCCUGUUCCUCUUGUUUCAUAGAGCUCACAAUAAGGCAGAGUUAACUUUGAAUUGCUGCUUAACUCAACCCAACAUCUAGGUUGUGUACAAACAGCCUUUAAUUGAGAAAAAAGACUGUGAAGACUGCAGCAGUGUUUUGGUGUUAAAUCCUAGUUUUGGAGGGAGAGAGGAGGAAGAAGGGUGACGAUAGGGCCCCAGCUGUCUGCUAGUCAGACCUUGCCCAAAACCUUGUCUCCCAUCCUCCUGCACCUUGGGUCUCACUGCUGGGAGCCACUUCCACCCCCAGAGUUGGACUGCAGUAACAGUCCACAGUCACUGUGCUGACCCACAGAAGCCAACAGUGGGUCAGCACAAACCGUCUCGAUAAGAAGCUGCUGAGAGAUUUGCUAUCAUCUUCAGAAGAAACAAAACAAACUGAAAACAGCUUGGCUUUUGGGGUUCCAGUUAGUCCUAUUUUGCAUACUUUUUGUACGUAUGAGGCAAGCCGUUCAGUUCCAUCAUGUUUCUGAUAAUAUUUCUUAUCCUUUACUUUGCAGUUUUACCCUUUCAUUCCCCAUCCCAACCUGCUUAAGUAGUUACUCCUUUCUGAUAACAUUACUACACUAUUCACAUUUAAAUGCUUUUGCUCCCUCCUCCUUCCAUAAAUGAUUUUCUCAAGCCAUGUGUAUUAAAUUGUAUUAACUUGCCUAAUUUGUUCACAUGCUGCUAUUCUUUUAAUAAAUUCUUUGCAUUCAGUUUUGUUCCCAUAGUAUUGAAAUACAUAUAGAUACAAAUAAACAUCUGUACAUUUAUUAUUUUUUUAAAAGCUUACAUUUGUAAUCCUCAUGCUGAAGAACUGAAAAGGCUUUGUGUUGAAGUUUGGUGAGACACUGAUCUCAGCUAUGCCAUUCCGUAUCCUGAAGAAAUCACUGCUUUAACAACAGCACGUCUCAUGCCUGAUUUGUCCUGCAAGAGUCUUACCUGUGCUACCACUCUCUGCUUACCUCCGUGGGCUAUAUACCUUUAAUGAAGCAUUGGUGCUGGCAGAGGCUUCUUUCCUCACUCACAUCUAUGUGAAGCAGGUUGGAAAGCCAGAAGCACUCAAUCCAUUGUAACCAUGGAAGAGAGCGCAAAAGAUGGAGUAUCUAAUUUGCUGGCCAUAUCUACUUCAGCAGGAACCUCCUUGUCAGCUGGGGGCUUGCUUUACAAGGGGUCUAUGCAGCCAGCACAUCAUGGAGGCUAGUGGGCCAUUUCCAGAUAAAAUGUUUUUUUUUUUUUCUCAGAAAAUGCUGACUUGCUGAAAAUAAAACUUUAAUCGUGUGUGCCAGCUUCAAUGAAAUACUGAUUGGUGAAGGGUUCUCUGCAGGAAUAUGGGAUUUCUUCUCAAAACUGCAGACAGAGGACCAGCUCUGAACAGACAAAAACAUGGGUCUCAGAAUGACGCCUAAGAUGAGAGAGGUCUGGGGCUCUGUUCCUUGCUUCAUGCAGAUUCUGCUCUCUAAGCACAGAAACUCACAAGUG